UCCUUAGAUGUCCUGGGCUGCACGCGCGCUACACUGACGAACUCAACGAGCUUAUCACCUUGGCAGAGAUGUCUGGGUAAUCUUUUGAAAGUUCGUCGUGCUGGGGAUAGAUGAUUGUAAUUAUUCGUCUUGAACGAGGAAUUCCUAGUAAGUGUGAGUCAUCAGCUCGCGCUGAUUACGUCCCUGCCCUUUGUACACACCGCCCGUCGCUCCUACCGAUUGAAUGGUCCGGUGAGGUUCUCGGAUUUUUUCUGUUGUUUGGUUCGCUAAACGAUUGAAGAGAGAAGUUACCCAAACCUUACCAUUUAGAGGAAGGAGAAGUCGUAACA
rnacentral:rRNA from 1 species